rnacentral:rRNA from 1 species
AUUCCCGGUCCUUGGGCUAUCAUUGGCGACUUUAACCUAAUCCUUCGCCCCUCCGAUAAAUCUUCCCCAAACUUCAACUCGAUUGAGGCCAUGCUCUUCUCUGACGCGAUUCAAUCCAUGCGACUGCAAGACCUCCCCCUCCUCGACCGAUGCUAUACCUGGUCUAACCAA